rnacentral:tRNA from 1 species
GGGGUUGUGGCUCAGUGGUAGAGCACUUGCCUUGCACGUGCGAGACUGUGGGUUCGAUCCUCAGCACCA